GAUCGGUGGUCACGAAGCUUCAGACACCCAGAUUGUUUCCUUCCAUGGGCCUGGGUAGACAAUCUGCUUGGUCCGUGGAAGAAGACAAUCUGCAUGUCAUGCAUCGUCCAGUGGUU